GUACACACCGCCCGUCACACCAUGGGAGUGGGUUGUACCAGAAGUAGGUAGCCUAACCUUCGGGAGGGCGCUUACCACGGUAUGAUUCAUGACUGGAGUGAAGUCGUAACAAGGUAGCCGUAGGUGAACCUGCAGAAGGAUCA
rnacentral:rRNA from 1 species